GACGAACGCUGGCGGCGUGCUUAACACAUGCAAGUCGAACGGAAAGGCCCUGCUUGCAGGGUACUCGAGUGGCGAACGGGUGAGUAACACGUGGGUGAUCUGCCCUGCACUUCGGGAUAAGCCUGGGAAACUGGGUCUAAUACCGGAUAGGAGCCAUUUUUAGUGUGAUGGUUGUAAAGUUUUUUCGGUGUAGGAUGAGCUCGCGGCCUAUCAGCUUGUUGGUGGGGUAAUGGCCUACCAAGGCGGCGACGGGUAGCCGGCCUGAGAGGGUGGACGGCCACAUUGGGACUGAGAUACGGCCCAGACUGCUAAGGGAGGCAGCAGUGGGGAAGAUUGCACAAGGGGCGCAAGCCUGAUGCAGAGACGCCGCGUGGGGGAUGACGGCCUUCGGGUUGUAAACUCCUUUCGCUAGGGACGAAGCUUUUUGUGACGGUACCUAGAUAAGAAGCACCGGCUAACUACGUG
rnacentral:rRNA from 1 species